UACGUAGGGUGCGAGCGUUGUCCGGAAUUAUUGGGCGUAAAGAGCUCGUAGGCGGUUUGUUGCGUCGGCUGUGAAAUCCCGAGGCUCAACCUCGGGUCUGCAGUCGAUACGAGCAAACUAGAGUGUUGCAGGGGAGACUGGAAUUCCUGGUGUAGCGGUGAAAUGCGUAGAGAUGCGGAGGAACACCGAUGGCGAAGGCAGCCCCCUGGGCUGACACUGACGCUCAGGCACGAAAGCGUGGGGAGCAAACAGG
rnacentral:rRNA from 1 species